GCGGCUCUCGGGGCGGUGGGGCCUUCCCCGCUCGCGACGGCGUCCGUGGCGGUGCGGCAAGCGGCGGUGCCGGCUCCGUGCCCGGUGGCGCCGCU
rnacentral:tRNA from 1 species